GAUGAACGCUGGCGGCGUGCCUAAUACAUGCAAGUCGAGCGAACAGACGAGGAGCUUGCUCCUCUGACGUUAGCGGCGGACGGGUGAGUAACACGUGGAUAACCUACCUAUAAGACUGGGAUAACUUCGGGAAACCGGAGCUAAUACCGGAUAAUAUAUUGAACCGCAUGGUUCAAUAGUGAAAGACGGUUUUGCUGUCACUUAUAGAUGGAUCCGCGCCGCAUUAGCUAGUUGGUAAGGUAACGGCUUACCAAGGCAACGAUGCGUAGCCGACCUGAGAGGGGGAUGGGAACAAGUGGAAAUGAGAACCGGUCCAAACCCCUAGGGGGGGCAGGAGGAGGAAAUCUUCCGGAAGGGGGGAAAGCGUGAAGGAGCAACGCCGGGGGAGUAAAGAAGGUCUUCGGAUCGAAAAACUCUGUUAUUAGGGAAAAAAAAAUUGGAAAGUAAAUAUGCCAGUUUUAACGGUAACAAAAAAGAAAGCCCCGGCUAACUACGG
rnacentral:rRNA from 1 species